rnacentral:rRNA from 1 species
CCUACGGGUGGCAGCAGUGAGGAAUAUUGGUCAAUGGACGAGAGUCUGAACCAGCCAAGUAGCGUGAAGGAUGACUGCCCUAUGGGUUGUAAACUUCUUUUAUAAAGGAAUAAAACGAGGCACGUGUGCCUUUUUGCAUGUACUUUAUGAAUAAGGAUCGGCUAACUCCGUGCCAGCAGCCGCGGUAAUACGGAGGAUCCGAGCGUUAUCCGGAUUUAUUGGGUUUAAAGGGAGCGUAGAUGGGUUGUUAAGUCAGUUGUGAAAGUUUGCGGCUCAACCGUAAAAUUGCAAUUGAUACUGGCAGUCGUGAGGAGAGUGGAGGUAGGCGGAAUUCGUGGUGUAGCGGUGAAAUGCUUAGAUAUCACGAAGAACCCCGAUUGCGAAGGCAGCUUACUAAACUGUGACUGACAUUGAUGCUCGAAAGUGUGGGUAUCAAACAGGAUUAGAUACCCCAGUAGUC